GACGAACGCUGGCGGCGUGCUUAACACAUGCAAGUCGAACGGAGUUACGUAUGAAGUAUUUCGGUACGGACUAUGUAACUUAGUGGCGAACGGGUGAGUAACACGUGGGCAACCUGCCCUUAACCGGGGGAUAACAUUGUGAAAACAGUGCUAAUACCGCAUAACAGAGUAUCGGGCAUCCGAUAUUUUUAAAAGGAGCAAUCCGGUUUUAGGAUGGGCCCGCGUCCAAUUAGCUAGUUGGUGAGGUAACGGCUCACCAAGGCUACGAUUGGUAGCCGAACUGAGAGGUUGAUCGGCCACAUUGGGACUGAGACACGGCCCAGACUCCUACGGGAGGCAGCAGUGGGGAAUAUUGGGCAAUGGGCGAAAGCCUGACCCAGCGACGCCGCGUGAAGGAUGAAGGUCUUCGGAUUGUAAACUUCUUUGAUCAGGGAAGAAAGAAAUGACGGUACCUGAAGAACAAGCCACGGCUAACUACGUG
rnacentral:rRNA from 1 species